GCCAACAGACAGGGGAGCCCCCUGGCCGACGAGCCGGGGAGCUGAGAGUGCCACCGGCGACCAGUGCCGGGACGCAGACCCUCAGGACCUGAUCCGGUUAGCACCGGCGAAGGGAGUCGGAAUGCAACGCAC
rnacentral:ncRNA from 1 species